UACGUAGGGGGCAAGCGUUGUCCGGAAUCAUUGGGCGUAAAGAGCGUGUAGGCGGCCUGGUAAGUCCGCUGUGAAAGUCCAGGGCUCAACCCUGGAAUGCCGGUGAACGUAGUCAGGCUCGAGUCCGGAAGAGGCGAGUGGAAUUCCUGGUGUAGCGGUGAAAUGCGCAGAUAUCAGGAGGAACACCAAUGGCGAAGGCAGCUCGCUGGGACGGUACUGACGCUGAGACGCGAAAGCGUGGGGAGCAAACAGG
rnacentral:rRNA from 1 species